rnacentral:lncRNA from 1 species
AAAAAAUUUCAAACCGAACUCAAGGAGGGGUGUGGCCUGACCCAACCUAGCCCAUUUCUAGUCCUAUUCGCAAGCCGCUCGAUACUUUGGAAUCUUUAGGAUAGGAUUUGCCUGGAUGCCAUGCGGUGUGUGAUAAGUGCAUAGAUAUGCCAUAAGAAGUAUUAAAAUUCUUGAUAUUUAGUUUCCAUUACUUUGAAUUUGAUACUUUUUAUGUAUGUUUUUAUAAGAAUUAUUAAUCAUAAAAAAUUAUUCACA